UAUGCAUCAGUAGUUACACGGGUUAUUCUACUGCUCCGUAUGCAUCAGUAGUUACACGGGUUAUUCUACUGCUCCGUAUGCAUCAGUAGUUACACGGGUUAUUCUACUGCUCCGUAUGCAUCAGUAGUUACACAGGUUAUUCUACUGCUCCGUAUGCAUCAGUAGUUACACGGGUUAUUCUACUGCUCCGUAUGCAUCAGUAGUUACACGGGUUAUUCUACUGCUCCGUAUGCAUCAGUUACACGGGUUAUUCUACUGCUCCGUAUGCAUCAGUUACACGGGUUAUUCUACUGCUCCGUAUGCAUCAGUUAAACAGGUUAUUCUACUGCUCCGUAUGCAUCAGUUACACGGGUUAUUCUACUGCUCCGUAUGCAUCAGUUAAACAGGUUAUUCUACUGCUCCGUAUGAAUCAGUUACACGGGUUAUUCUACUGCUCCGUAUGAAUCAGUUAAACAGGUUAUUCUACUGCUCCGUAUGAAUCAGUUACACAGGUUAUUCUACUGCUCCGUAUGCAUCAGUUACACGGGUUAUUCUACUGCUCCGUAUGCAUCAGUUAAACAGGUUAUUCUACUGCUCCGUAUGAAUCAGUUACACGGGUUAUUCUACUGCUCCGUAUGCAUCAGUUAAACAGGUUAUUCUACUGCUCCGUAUGAAUCAGUUACACGGGUUAUUCUACUGCUCCGUAUGAAUCAGUUAAACAGGUUAUUCUACUGCUCCGUAUGAAUCAGUUACACGGGUUAUUCUACUGCUCCGUAUGCAUCAGUAGUUACACAGGUUAUUCUACUGCUCCGUAUGCAUCAGUAGUUACACGGGUUAUUCUACUGCUCCGUAUGCAUCAGUAGUUACACGGGUUAUUCUACUGCUCCGUAUGCAUCAGUAGUUACACAGGUUAUUCUACUGCUCCGUAUGCAUCAGUAGUUACACAGGUUAUUCUACUGCUCCGUAUG